UCCGAAGGGGGCUAUCGUUGUUCGGAAUAACUGGGCGUAAAGCGCACGUAGGCGGAUUUGUAAGUCAGGGGUGAAAUCCCGGGGCUCAACCUCGGAACUGCCUUUGAUACUGCAAGUCUAGAGUACGGAAGAGGUGAGUGGAAUUCCUAGUGUAGAGGUGAAAUUCGUAGAUAUUAGGAAGAACACCAGUGGCGAAGGCGGCUCACUGGUCCGGAACUGACGCUGAGGUGCGAAAGCGUGGGGAGCAAACAGG
rnacentral:rRNA from 1 species